GAAUCACCUGUGAGUGGAAGCACAAGAAGAAGAAUCAGCUGGAAAUAGUCAAAUCCGACCAUGUUCCAUUAUCUUUAAGAGGAGAAACGUACUAGCUCCGCCGCCGCACAGCGCGAGGAAGAGGGAGACAGCCCCAAAUGUUCCUGCAACUAAAUUUGCUCGAGUGAAACAACAAGGAUCAGAUUAAAAGAAAAAUCAGAGGCAGGGCAGAGGGAGGAGUUGGGAGAUAGACAGAGAGAGAGGGAGAGAGAGAGAGAGAGAGAAAAAAAAAAGAGAGAGAGAGAGAGAGAGAGAGAGAGAGAUAGUGGUGUGUGUGUGUGUGUUUUCGUUCAUUAGAGAACACCGUUAACAUUUGGGGACAUCAGAGUCACGACGGAGAGGUCUGCAGCAGGUGGGGGCUUCAAGGUCAGAGGACAUUGGCGGCCCUGGAAAGAUUCAUGGUCACCGUCAAGCACCGAAAAGAAUGUGACCACAUGCGUCCCAGUCCACGUCCAUAUGUGGUCUGAGUGAUUGGAUCUCCAGACGCUUUCAGUGCCAUGUUCCAACAUGAAGUAUGAACCGGUGACACAUACAGAGUUCGAGAGAAAUAAAAGUGUUUGCCUGGAAAAGAGCAGCUGGAAAUGAUAGUGAUCAGAAAGAAGAG